UGUGUACGUGGGAUCGAUCAAGAGCAGGAGGGGGCAAGACCAAACCCUAACUUCACAAAUCCUCCAAAAACAGAAGGGAAUUUAGAGUUUUAGUGAAUGCAUGAGCCCUAAUUCGAGUAAUCUAAGCUUGUCCAACCCUUGGCGUUAAGGAAGAAAGUUCAAGUCAAGGGAAGCCGCAAGGGAAUCAAGACCGAGGUAAAUCUCAUGUCUAGUUAUCAAGCUUGCCCGGAUCGAACACACCUCAAGCCCGUCAAGCGCUCCGCAUUUUGUAUAAGUCGAUGUCAAAUUACCUAGUUACUUAUGUUUAUGCUUUGUACUUAAACUAGUUUGGUCAUGGUUGUCUUUUGAAAAGUUGUCGUAGGUGCGUACA